rnacentral:snoRNA from 1 species
UAGACUAUACUUUCAGGGAUCAUUUCUUUGGUUGGUUAGUAGAGAAAUUGCUCUGAACAUGCAGAGCAGAAACCGCAAAGAGGAGGCGCACCAUCCUCUCCUGAGCGUGUUGCUUCCCUGCAACUGCCUUUGCCAUUGAUGAUUGUUCUUUUCCUCUGCAAGAGUAAGAGGGGGAGGACACAGUCUGAAUGGU